rnacentral:rRNA from 1 species
UUCGCAAUGCCCGAAAGGGUGACGAAGCGACGCCGCGUGGGUGAGGAAGGCCUUCGGGUUGUAAAGCCCUGUCAGGAGUUAAGAAAUAUAAGUGUGUUAAUACCGCAUUUAUUUGACGAAGGCUCCAAAGGAAGCCACGGCUAACUCUGUGCCAGCAGCCGCGGUAAUACAGAGGUGGCAAGCGUUGUUCGGUAUUAUUGGGCGUAAAGAGCACGUAGGUGGUUUUGUAAGUCAGAUGUGAAAGCCUUCUGUUCAAAGGAAGAACGGCAUCUGAAACUGCGAAUCUUGAGUGUAGGAGGGGAGAGUGGAACUUCUGGUGGAGCGGUGAAAUACGUAGAUAUCAGAAGGAACGUCGGCGGCGAAAGCGGCUCUCUGGCCUAUUACUGACACUGAGUGUGCGAAAGUUAGGGGAGCAAACGGGAUUAGAUACCCCGGUAGUCCUAACUGUAAACGAUGGGCACUAAGUAGAGGGGUUUU